UGAACUCGAAGAGUAGGGCGGGACACGUGGUAUCCUGUCUGAAUAUGGGGGGACCAUCCUCCAAGGCUAAAUACUCCUGACUGACCGAUAGUGAACCAGUACCGUGAGGGAAAGGCGAAAAGAACCCCGGCGAGGGGAGUGAAAAAGAACCUGAAACCGUGUACGUACAAGCAGUGGGAGCACCUUCGGGUGUGACUGCGUACCUUUUGUAUAAUGGGUCAGCGACUUAUAUUCUGUAGCAAGGUUAACCGUAUAGGGGAGCCGCAGGGAAACCGAGUCUUAACUGGGCGUUAAGUUGCAGGGUAUAGACCCGAAACCCGGUGAUCUAGCCAUGGGCAGGUUGAAGGUUGGGUAACACUAACUGGAGGACCGAACCGACUAAUGUUGAAAAAUUAGCGGAUGACUUGUGGCUGGGGGUGAAAGGCCAAUCAAACCGGGAGAUAGCUGGUUCUCCCCGAAAGCUAUUUAGGUAGCGCCUCGUGAAUUCAUCUUCGGGGGUAGAGCACUGUUUCGGCUAGGGGGUCAUCCCGACUUACCAACCCGAUGCAAACUACGAAUACCGAAGAAUGUUAUCACGGGAGACACACGGCGGGUGCUAACGUCCGUCGUGAAGAGGGAAACAACCCAGACCGCCAGCUAAGGUCCCAAAGUCAUGGUUAAGUGGGAAACGAUGUGGGAAGGCACAGACAGCCAGGAUGUUGGCUUAGAAGCAGCCAUCAUUUAAAGAAAGCGUAAUAGCUCACUGGUCGAGUCGGCCUGCGCGGAAGAUGUAACGGGGCUAAACCAUGCACCGAAGCUGCGGCAGCGACACUAUG
rnacentral:rRNA from 1 species